rnacentral:rRNA from 1 species
UACGAAGGGGGCUAGCGUUGCUCGGAAUCACUGGGCGUAAAGGGUGCGUAGGCGGGUCUUAAGUCAGGGGUGAAAUCCCGGAGCUCAACUCCGGAACUGCCUUUGAUACUGGCGAUCUUGAGUUCGAGAGAGGUGAGUGGAACUGCGAGUGUAGAGGUGAAAUUCGUAGAUAUUCGCAAGAACACCAGUGGCGAAGGCGGCUCACUGGCUCGAUACUGACGCUGAGGUGCGAAAGCGUGGGGAGCAAACAGG